AGUCGAGCGGUAGCACAGAGAGCUUGCUCUCGGGUGACGAGCGGCGGACGGGUGAGUAAUGUCUGGGAAACUGCCUGAUGGAGGGGGAUAACUACUGGAAACGGUAGCUAAUACCGCAUAACGUCGCAAGACCAAAGUGGGGGACCUUCGGGCCUCAUGCCAUCAGAUGUGCCCAGAUGGGAUUAGCUAGUAGGUGGGGUAACGGCUCACCUAGGCGACGAUCCCUAGCUGGUCUGAGAGGAUGACCAGCCACACUGGAACUGAGACACGGUCCAGACUCCUACGGGAGGCAGCAGUGGGGAAUAUUGCACAAUGGGCGCAAGCCUGAUGCAGCCAUGCCGCGUGUGUGAAGAAGGCCUUCGGGUUGUAAAGCACUUUCAGCGGGGAGGAAGGCGAUAAGGUUAAUAACCUUGUCGAUUGACGUUACCCGCAGAAGAAGCACCGGCUAACUCCGUGCCAGCAGCCGCGGUAAUACGGAGGGUGCAAGCGUUAAUCGGAAUUACUGGGCGUAAAGCGCACGCAGGCGGUCUGUCAAGUCGGAUGUGAAAUCCCCGGGCUCAACCUGGGAACUGCAUUCGAAACUGGCAGGCUAGAGUCUUGUAGAGGGGGGUAGAAUUCCAGGUGUAGCGGUGAAAUGCGUAGAGAUCUGGAGGAAUACCGGUGGCGAAGGCGGCCCCCUGGACAAAGACUGACGCUCAGGUGCGAAAGCGUGGGGAGCAAACAGGAUUAGAUACCCUGGUAGUCCACGCCGUAAACGAUGUCGAUUUGGAGGUUGUGCCCUUGAGGCGUGGCUUCCGGAGCUAACGCGUUAAAUCGACCGCCUGGGGAGUACGGCCGCAAGGUUAAAACUCAAAUGAAUUGACGGGGGCCCGCACAAGCGGUGGAGCAUGUGGUUUAAUUCGAUGCAACGCGAAGAACCUUACCUGGUCUUGACAUCCACAGAACUUUCCAGAGAUGGAUUGGUGCCUUCGGGAACUGUGAGACAGGUGCUGCAUGGCUGUCGUCAGCUCGUGUUGUGAAAUGUUGGGUUAAGUCCCGCAACGAGCGCAACCCUUAUCCUUUGUUGCCAGCGGUUCGGCCGGGAACUCAAAGGAGACUGCCAGUGAUAAACUGGAGGAAGGUGGGGAUGACGUCAAGUCAUCAUGGCCCUUACGACCAGGGCUACACACGUGCUACAAUGGCAUAUACAAAGAGAAGCGACCUCGCGAGAGCAAGCGGACCUCAUAAAGUAUGUCGUAGUCCGGAUUGGAGUCUGCAACUCGACUCCAUGAAGUCGGAAUCGCUAGUAAUCGUAGAUCAGAAUGCUACGGUGAAUACGUUCCCGGGCCUUGUACACACCGCCCGUCACACCAUGGGAGUGGGUUGCAAAAGAAGUAGGUAGCUUAACCUUCGGGAGGGCGCU
rnacentral:rRNA from 1 species